CCCAUUCAUCCAAAACAUUGCAUAACAACUUUUCCCUUUGUGCAUACAUUACAACACGAGUAACAUUUUAUGAUAGAUGGUUUAGAUAUUCUAUAUCGAUUCAGGGUGUAACAUAUAUUUUGAUAAUAGAGAAUGUUCACACAUUUUAUAAUAGGUUAAUACGUAACAUAAAAAUUUUAUAUUUUAUGUUGGGUGGUCAAUAUCCUUCAUAGUUGUGAGGACCUUAUUUUUCUUUCAUUUCCCAUUUUCACCCUUACAUUUUUCUUCUCUCUCAGCCUCACUCACCCUUCCCCGCACAACUCAUUUUCUCUCCAAAAUACUCAUUUCUCCUUUUCUCUCUUUUGCUGGUGGCGAUUCUUGGCAGCGGAAGGUGCUUAGGGGGUGUGAACUGAUUUCCUCCAGCUGAUUUCUUCUCCGUUCACUUCCAAGCUUCUCUUCUCCUUCAUUCUUUUCCACCCGAAGCUCGGAAUCUUAGGCCGAGAGCAGGGAUAGGUGGUGGAUAGUGGUGAGUCUGCAGCUGGUAGGCGGAGCUGACUCCUAUGGAUGUUUUGUUUUGUUUUGUUACGGCUACUUGAUAUAGUGGUUUUGGAUGUAUUUUGUACUCUACACUCUAACUCUAGUCGGAUGUAGGACAUUGUAUAUACUUAUAUUCUAGACACUAUAUUUAUAUACUCGUUCUAUCCUGUCUCGA